rnacentral:rRNA from 1 species
GACGAACGCUGGCGGCGUGCUUAACACAUGCAAGUCGAACGGAAAGGCCCUGCUUUUGUGGUGUGCUCGAGUGCCGAACGGGUGAGUAACACGUGAGUAACCUGCCCUUGACUUUGGGAUAACUUCAGGAAACUGGGGCUAAUACCGGAUAGGAGCUCCUGCUGCAUGGUGGGGGUUGGAAAGUUUCGGCGGGUGGGGAUGGACUCGCGGCUUAUCAGCUUGUUGGUGGGGUAGUGGCUUACCAAGGCUUUGACGGGUAGCCGGCCUGAGAGGGUGACCGGCCACAUUGGGACUGAGAUACGGCCCAGACUCCUACGGGAGGCAGCAGUGGGGAAUAUUGCACAAUGGGCGGAAGCCUGAUGCAGCAACGCCGCGUGCGGGAUGACGGCCUUCGGGUUGUAAACCGCUUUCGCCUGUGACGAAGCGUGAGUGACGGUAAUGGGUAAAGAAGCACCGGCUAACUACGUG